GAACGUACCCUUUACUACGGAAUAACGCAUGGAAACGUGUGCUAAUACCGUAUGUUGCUUCGGGGGAAAGAUUUAUCGGUAAAGGAUCGGCCCGCGUUGGAUUAGCUAGUUGGUGGGGUAAAGGCCUACCAAGGCGACGAUCCAUAGCUGGUCUGAGAGGAUGAUCAGCCACAUUGGGACUGAGACACGGCCCAAACUCUACGGGAGGCAGCAGUGGGGAAUAUUGGACAAUGGGCGCAAGCCUGAUCCAGCCAUGCCGCGUGAGUGAUGAAGGCCCUAGGGUUGUAAAGCUCUUUCACCGGUGAAGAUAAUGACGGUAACCGGAGAAGAAGCCCCG
rnacentral:rRNA from 1 species